UACGAAGGUCCCGAGCGUUGUUCGGAAUCGCUGGGCGUAAAGGGAGCGUAGGCGGUUUGGUAAGUCAGAUGUGAAAUCCCGGGGCUCAACCCCGGAACUGCAUCCGAUACUGCCAGACUUGAGCAAUGGAGAGGUAGCUGGAAUUAUCGGUGUAGCAGUGAAAUGCGUAGAUAUCGAUAGGAACACUCGUGGCGAAAGCGAGCUACUGGACAUUUGCUGACGCUGAGGCUCGAAGGCUAGGGGAGCGAAAGGG
rnacentral:rRNA from 1 species